GGGCCCGCACAAGCGGCGGAGCAUGUGGCUUAAUUCGACGCAACGCGAAGAACCUUACCAAGGUUUGACACCAUACUGAAGGUAAUAGAAAUAUUGCCGCCCGCAAGGGCAGUAUGACAGGUGGUGCAUGGUUGUCGUCAGCUCGUGUCGUGAGAUGUUGGGUUAAGUCCCGCAACGAGCGCAACCCUCUUCCCAUGUUGCCAUCAGGUUAUGCUGGGCACUCUUGGGAUACUGCCAGUGUAAAACUGGAGGAAGGUGGGGAUGACGUCAAAUCAUCAUGCCCUUUAUACCUUGGGCUGCACACGUGCUACAAUGGCCUGUACAAAGAGCUGCGAUACUGUGAGGUGGAGCGAAUCUCAAAAAACAGGUCUAAGUCCAGAUUGAAGGCUGCAACUCGCCUUCAUGAAGUCGGAGUCGCUAGUAAUCGUGGAUCAGCACGCCACGGUGAAUACGUUCCCGGGCCUU
rnacentral:rRNA from 1 species